rnacentral:rRNA from 1 species
GAUGAACGCUGGCGGCGUGCCUAAUACAUGCAAGUCGAGCGAACAGACGCGGAGCUUGCUCCUUUGACGUUAGCGGCGGACGGGUGAGUAACACGUGGAUAACCUACCUAUCAUACUGGGAUAACUUCGGGAAACCGGCGCUAAUACCGGAUAACAUGUUGAACCGCAUGGUUCAACAGUGAAAGACGGUUUUGCUGUCACUUAUCGAUGGUUCCGCGUCGCAUUAGCUAGUUGGUAAGGUAACGGCUUACCAAGGCAACGAUGCGUAGCCGACCUGAGAGAGUGAUCGGCCACACUGGAACUGAGACACGGUCCAGACUCCUACGGUAGGCAGCAGUAGGGAAUCUUCCGCAAUGGGCGAAAACCUUACGGAGCAACGCCGCGUGAGUGAAGAAGGUCUUCGGAUCGUAAAACUCUGUUAUUAGGGAAGAACAAAUGUGUAAGUAACUAUGCACGUCGUGACGGUACCUAAUCAGAAAGCCACGGCUAACUACGUG